GUACCUUCUGUCUAAGAUAGAAAUUUAGUAUUUGUUCUUAUCAGCUUAAUGUCUGAUAUGUCCUGCAUUGCAGGACCAGAAUAUUAAGAUCAUUUUUGGCUCAUGACAGAGUGCUAGGGGCUUGUCCCACCACUGUCGCAGACAGGUCAAGCAUUGCUGUACUACCGGGUUCGGCCCACCUAAA